GACGAACGCUGGCGGCGUGCUUAACACAUGCAAGUCGAACGGAAAGGCCCUGCUUUUGUGGGGUGCUCGAGUGGCGAACGGGUGAGUAACACGUGAGUAUCCUGCCCUUGACUUUGGGAUAACUUCAGGAAACUGGGGCUAAUACCGGAUAGGAGCUCCUGCUGCAUGGUGGGGGUUGGAAAGUUUCGGCGGUUGGGGAUGGACUCGCGGCUUAUCAGCUUGUUGGUGGGGUAGUGGCUUACCAAGGCUUUGACGGGUAGCCGGCCUGAGAGGGUGACCGGCCACAUUGGGACUGAGAUACGGCCCAGACUCCUACGGGAGGCAGCAGUGGGGAAUAUUGCACAAUAGGCGGAAGCCUGAUGCAGCAACGCCGCGUGCGGGAUGACGGCCUUCGGGUUGUAAACCGCUUUCGCCUGUGACGAAGCGUGAGUGACGGUAAUGGGUAAAGAAGCACCGGCUAACUACGUG
rnacentral:rRNA from 1 species